GGUUCUACAGUGAAAGACGGUCUUGCUGUCACUUAUAGAUGGACCCGCGCCGUAUUAGCUAGUUGGUGGGGUAACGGCCUACCAAGGCGACGAUACGUAGCCGACCUGAGAGGGUGAUCGGCCACACUGGAACUGAGACACGGUCCAGACUCCUACGGGAGGCAGCAGUAGGGAAUCUUCCGCAAUGGGCGAAAGCCUGACGGAGCAACGCCGCGUGAGUGAUGAAGGUCUUCGGAUCGUAAAGCUCUGUUGUUAGGGAAGAACAAAUGUGUAAGUAACUGUGCACAUCUUGACGGUACCUAACCAGAAAGCCACGGCUAACUACGUGCCAGCAGCCGCGGUAAUACGUAGGUGGCAAGCGUUAUCCGGAAUUAUUGGGCGUAAAGCGCGCGUAGGCGGUUUUUUAAGUCUGAUGUGAAAGCCCACGGCUCAACCGUGGAGGGUCAUUGGAAACUGGAAAACUUGAGUGCAGAAGAGGAAAGUGGAAUUCCAUGUGUAGCGGUGAAAUGCGCAGAGAUAUGGAGGAACACCAGUGGCGAAGGCGGCUUUCUGGUCUGCAACUGACGCUGAUGUGCGAAAGCGUGGGGAUCAAACAGGAUUAGAUACCCUGGUAGUCCACGCCGUAAACGAUGAGUGCUAAGUGUUAGGGGGUUUCCGCCCCUUAGUGCUGCAGCUAACGCAUUAAGCACUCCGCCUGGGGAGUACGGUCGCAAGACUGAAACUCAAAGGAAUUGACGGGGACCCGCACAAGCGGUGGAGCAUGUGGUUUAAUUCGAAGCAACGCGAAGAACCUUACCAAAUCUUGACAUCCUUUGACCGCUCUAGAGAUAGAGUUUUCCUCUUCGGAGGACAAAGUGACAGGUGGUGCAUGGUUGUCGUCAGCUCGUGUCGUGAGAUGUUGGGUUAAGUCCCGCAACGAGCGCAACCCUUGAACUUAGUUGCCAUCAUUCAGUUGGGCACUCUAAGUUGACUGCCGGUGACAAACCGGAGGAAGGUGGGGAUGACGUCAAAUCAUCAUGCCCCUUAUGAUUUGGGCUACACACGUGCUACAAUGGACAAUACAAAGGGCAGCGAAACCGCGAGGUCAAGCAAAUCCCAUAAAGUUGUUCUCAGUUCGGAUUGUAGUCUGCAACUCGACUACAUGAAGCUGGAAUCGCUAGUAAUCGUAGAUCAGCAUGCUACGGUGAAUACGUUCCCGGGUCUUGUACACACCGCCCGUCACACCACGAGAGUUUGUAACACCCGAAGCCGGUGGAGUAACCAUUUUGGAGCUAGCCGUCGAAGGUGGGACA
rnacentral:rRNA from 1 species